rnacentral:lncRNA from 1 species
UGUGAGUCCUAGAGGCUGUGAGUAUGUCACUUCUCUGCAUCCUCUUCAAUGGAACCACCACCACCACCACCACCCCCAGGUCCCUUCUAGGACAGUUGAAUGGAGAAUCUACUGUUGGCCUGGCCUGGAAACCACCUGGCAAUUCCCCCAGCAGCUGCCUUUGAUCUGCCGUGAUGAGGAAGGGAGCAGGAUUCUGGAAUUAUGCCAACCUAGUUCAGGUUAGUUUCACUGGGCCCCUUAAACACCUUGAGCCUUAGUUACUUCAUCUCUUAAAUGAAGAAAACAAUAUCGUCCUCAUGUGUUUCAUAGAGAUUGCACUUAAUUACAUAUGACAAAUGCCUAUAUAGUCAGUGUCAGACACACAAUAGGCAGUGAGCCACAAUGACCCUAGUUCUAACUGCC